rnacentral:lncRNA from 1 species
GCUGUUCUUCUCUCCUUGGUGGCUCUGGCUAUGGUAGGGCCCUCGGUCAAUCCUCCCUACCUUCAGGCCGACGUCGGAUGAAUCUGUCGAGCCGACCUCAUCUGAUGAGCUCCUCGAUCUCGUCUUGGAGCUAAAUACACUCCUCCAUGUUAUGGCCGUGGUCAUGAUGAUAGAGGUAGAACUUGUUAGGGUUAUGCUUCCCUGGGUGUGUGUGCAUCCUUUCCGGCCUUGGCAGCUACUCCCUGACCUCCAUCAACACUUGGGCUUUUGGAGCAUUGAGAGGGGCGUAGCUGUGGAAUCUUCCUGGGGGAGAGCUCUGCUGAACUCUACGGUCCGGGCUC